AUUGAACGCUGGCGGCAGGCCUAACACAUGCAAGUCGAGCGGCAGCGGGAAAGUAGCUUGCUACUUUUGCCGGCGAGCGGCGGACGGGUGAGUAAUGCCUGGGGAUCUGCCCAGUCGAGGGGGAUAACUACUGGAAACGGUAGCUAAUACCGCAUACGCCCUACGGGGGAAAGCAGGGGACCUUCGGGCCUUGCGCGAUUGGAUGAACCCAGGUGGGAUUAGCUAGUUGGUGAGGUAAUGGCUCACCAAGGCGACGAUCCCUAGCUGGUCUGAGAGGAUGAUCAGCCACACUGGAACUGAGACACGGUCCAGACUCCUACGGGAGGCAGCAGUGGGGAAUAUUGCACAAUGGGGGAAACCCUGAUGUAGCCAUGCCGCGUGUGUGAAGAAGGCCUUCGGGUUGUAAAGCACUUUCAGCGAGGAGGAAAGGUUGGUAGCUAAUAACUGCCAGCUGUGACGUUACUCGCAGAAGAAGCACCGGCUAACUCCGUGCCAGCCGCCGCCGUAA
rnacentral:rRNA from 1 species